UACGGAAGGUCCAGGCGUUAUCCGGAUUUAUUGGGCGUAAAGCGAGCGCAGGCGGUUUCUUAAGUCUGAUGUGAAAGCCCCCGGCUCAACCGGGGAGGGUCAUUGGAAACUGGGAAACUUGAGUGCAGAAGAGGAGAGUGGAAUUCCAUGUGUAGCGGUGAAAUGCGUAGAUAUAUGGAGGAACACCAGUGGCGAAGGCGGCUCUCUGGUCUGUAACUGACGCUGAGGCUCGAAAGCGUGGGGAGCAAACAGGAUUAGAUACCCUGGUGGUCCACGCCGUAAACGAUGAGUGCUAAGUGUUGGAGGGUUUCCGCCCUUCAGUGCUGCAGCUAACGCAUUAAGCACUCCGCCUGGGGAGUACGACCGCAAGGUUGAA
rnacentral:rRNA from 1 species